CCUACGGGGGGCAGCAGUGAGGAAUAUUGGUCAAUGGGCGCAAGCCUGAACCAGCCAUGCCGCGUGCAGGAAGACGGCCCUAUGGGUUGUAAACUGCUUUUGUACGGGAAUAAUAACUCCGACGUGUCGGAGGACGAAGGUACCGUACGAAUAAGCAUCGGCUAACUCCGUGCCAGCAGCCGCGGUAAUACGGAGGAUGCAAGCGUUAUCCGGAUUUAUUAGGUUUAAAGGGUGCGCAGGCGGCCCGGUAAGUCAGUGGUGAAAGUUUGCAGCUUAACUGUAAAAUUGCCAUUGAUACUGUCGGGCUUGAAUGUGGUAGAGGUAGGCGGAAUGUGUAGUGUAGCGGUGAAAUGCUUAGAUAUUACACAGAACACCGAUUGCGAAGGCAGCUUACUAUGCCAUGAUUGACGCUGAGGCACGAAAGCGUGGGGAGCGAACAGGAUUAGAUACCCCAGUAGUC
rnacentral:rRNA from 1 species